GGGGUUGUAACUCAGUGGUAGAGUGCUUGUCUAGCAUGUAUGAGGCACUGGGUUCGAUCCUCAACCCAA
rnacentral:tRNA from 1 species